rnacentral:rRNA from 1 species
UACAGAGGGUGCAAGCGUUAAUCGGAAUUACUGGGCGUAAAGCGUGCGUAGUCGGUUAUUUAAGUCGGGUGUGGAAGCCCCGGGCUCAACCUGGGAAUUGCAUUCGAUACUGGAUAGCUAGAGUUCGGCAGAGGGAAGCGGAAUUUCCGGUGUAGCGGUGAAAUGCGUAGAUAUCGGAAGGAACAUCAGUGGCGAAAGCGGCUUCCUGGACCAGAACUGACGAUCAGGCACGAAAGCGUGGGGAGCAACAGG